CCCAAUCCAAUUGAUAAUUUUAAUGUUUUCCUGUAAUAUUUAGAGGAAACCUCAUACAUAAAUCGGUUAUCCCAUCACAGUCACGUCUUUGCCUUUCGUUUUACUUAAAUUAUAACGGUCAAAAUCUUUCCCCGUACGUAUCAAGUCGAAUCAAAUUUUCCACAAGACAUAUUUUUAUUUUAUGAGUAGGUACCAGGUAAGCCAGUUGAUUUUCCUUGACAAUAAAAGCAAUAGUGAUAUCAUCAUAAGGAUAAGUAUUAUAAGGUAUCUUCACGUCUUCUCUUUCAACGUGAGAAUAAACUAACGGUCUUACUAAUAAAAAUAUGUUAAACAACUGUUUAACGUCUAAUUACUUAUUCAAUGAAUAAGGCGUGAAUAGCUAGAUAUACAGCACUUUACUAAUAAACAGUGUAUAAGCCUUGAGUAACUAUUUAAUUGUUAUAACACUAACCGCUGGUAACAUUUUGAGAAGUGUUCCGAAACCAUAAAACGUAAAAAACACCACACUUUUCUAUUUCUAUUUUUCUUUCAUAUUUACAUGAUUUUAUUUACCAGUGACUAGAAAAUAAGAAAUGAACUAUUUCUGUUUAUUACAAAAUAUUUUCAGUAUACAUACGUGUAGAUACUUAAAUUAUAUUAUUUAACAUUUUCCAAUCAGUAAAAUGUCAUCUAUAAAGAAGAACAUGUUUUGAACGCGCUUUGAAACGUCAAAUGUCAUUUUCCGCAAGAAAUGUAAAAAGAUAAAUACAAACCCAGGUCGUGUUGUUUUUCGUAUUUAUAUUUCUUAUGCAUUCAUUUAAUUAUUGAUAAUAAUGGGAAAUGGAGUCGUUUGUAUCGUAGCAAAGAAGAGGAAGCGUGCUACUAAUUGGGAUCCCUUGUGAUUAGGUGUAAACAUAAGGAUGAGCAGAUGAUAAGAAAUCAAGUUCUCAAUGAGAACUGUCGUAGACUGAAAAUGAGGUAACAAAGAAACACAUGCUAGAAGCCUAUGAGUGGACGCGAGCUGAACAAGAGCUAAGAAAUUUAAAAUAACAAAAUAUUUGACUAGAAACUCAAAUAAAUAAAAUACAUUCUCAGUAUAAA